ensembl:lncRNA
GCCUGGAACCUUCUGAGUGCAUGAGCUUCCACACCAGCUUUCCCCUCUGCCUUCUUCCCCUCUUCCCUCCUCUCCCCUCCUCAGCACCAGCUUCCCCUCUCCUCCUACCUCCCCUCCUGCUCCAACUGCCAUCCUUGUUGCUUAGCCCUUUCCCUAACAGACGCACCCUAUGUCCCUCCCCUCCCUUCCACCUCCUCUGCAUUUAAAUGAAGCUCUCUCCAGCACCUCCAGCUCUCUCUCCAGCACCUCCAGCUUAGGAGAUGGGGAAACUGAGGCAGACCCCAGUGCAGAUGUUUCUUUCCUGCUGGGAACAAUUAAAGACCCUCAGAGCUGAGAAGGAAGCAGAUAAAUGAUGGGGGCAUGCAUGCAGAUGUAUGUGGAUCCCCAGUCUGCCUCAUUACUUCACAGAAUGAUAUUCCCUGGCCCAGAUGUGCAGCACUGUGCCUACACAGUUGCCUCUCAGAUGACAUUGUGGUUGCUUCCAGAUCUCUCCUGCUAUGAACAAAGCCCCUACAGACCUUGGGGUACAAGCACAAGCUGUCACUCAUCGAAGCCACCUCGAAUUUACUCUGCAAGUAUCUUAGCUGCAUGCAACAUCCCUGGCUAAGAGUCUUCCCUGUCCACGGCUGCUCCUCGUUCUGUGGUACUGAUGGUCUGUGGCUUCUUUAACCACAUCCUGUUUUGGGGUGUUGAGAUUAUUCCCAGUUUUUCUUUUCUUUUCUUUUCUUUUUUUUUACUGCAGUCCUGAGGGUGGAACCCAGGGCCUGUGCAUGCUAAGCAAGUGCUCUACUACUGAGCCACAACUCCAGCCCUUUAAAAAUUUUUAUUUUGAGACAGGGUCUCACCAAGUUGCCCAGGCUAACUUCCAACUUGCAAUCCUCCUCCUUCAGCUUCCUGAGUACCUGGGACAGCAGGCGCCUGCCACCUUGCCUGGCAAUUUCCUAAUUUUUGCUGGAAUAAAGGAUAUGGCUGGAUACAACCUUUUAUGCAAAUUCCAGCACAAUUUUGUUCUUAUAUUCAUAAGGAAAAUUCCUAGCCACAGGAACACCAGAACUGCAGGAAUUCACCUGGCAUUUACUGAGCACCUACUGUGUGCUGGGCACACUCCCGAGG